rnacentral:rRNA from 1 species
AGUGAACGCUGGCGGUAGGCCUAACACAUGCAAGUCGAACGGCAGCACAGUAAGAGCUUGCUCUUACGGGUGGCGAGUGGCGGACGGGUGAGAAAUACAUCGGAAUCUACUUUUUCGUGGGGGAUAACGUAGGGAAACUUACGCUAAUACCGCAUACGACCUACGGGUGAAAGCAGGGGAUCUUCGGACCUUGCGCGAUUGAAUGAGCCGAUGUCGGAUUAGCUAGUUGGCGGGGUAAAGGCCCACCAAGGCGACGAUCCGUAGCUGGUCUGAGAGGAUGAUCAGCCACACUGGAACUGAGACACGGUCCAGACUUCUACGGGAGGCAGCAGUGGGGAAUAUUGGACAAUGGGCGCAAGCCUGAUCCAGCCAUACCGCGUGGGUGAAGAAGGCCUUCGGGUUGUAAAGCCCUUUUGUUGGGAAAGAAAAGCAGCAGGUUAAUACCCCGCUGUUCUGACGGUACCCAAAGAAUAAGCACCGGCUAACUUCGUG